rnacentral:tRNA from 1 species
GCUUCAGUGGCGCAAUGGCAGCGCGACGGUCCUGUAAACCGUUGGUUGAGUGUUCAAAUCACUCCUGAAGCUCCA